rnacentral:lncRNA from 1 species
UGCUACCGAAGUCAUUUCCUAGACAUUCUGCCUGGGGCAGACGACAAUGAAGACGGUUCUGUCUGGUGCUGGUGACUGACCACCAUCUUGGAUACUGUUUCUCUCACGUAGUGUAAAUACAGUGUAAAUAGUCUCGUCUU